CAAGUCGAACGCGAAAGUUCCCUUCGGGGAGCGAGUAGAGUGGCGCACGGGUGAGUAACACGUAGGUAAUCUACCUUCGGAUUGGGAAUAACAACCGGAAACGGUUGCUAAUACCGAAUAAUGCAGCGGCACCUAAUGGUGACAGUUGUUAAAGCGGGGGAUCGCAAGACCUCGCGUCUGAAGAGGAGCCUGCGGCGGAUUAGCUAGUUGGUAAGGUAAUGGCUUACCAAGGCGAUGAUCCGUAGCCGGCCUGAGAGGGCGGUCGGCCACACUGACACUGACAUACGGGUCAGACUCCUACGGGAGGCAGCAGUCGGGAAUUUUGGGCAAUGGGCGAAAGCCUGACCCAGCAACGCCGCGUGAAGGAUGAAAUCCUUCGGGAUGUAAACUUCGCAAGAACGGGAAGAAUAAGUGGGGGUUAAUAUCCCUUACGAUGACGGUACUGUUUGUAAGCUCCGGCUAACUCCGUGCCAGCAGCCGCGGUAAUACGGGGGGAGCAAGCGUUGUUCGGAUUUACUGGGCGUAAAGGGCGGGUAGGCGGCCACUGCAAGUCGGUUGUGAAAUCUCCGGGCUUAACUCGGAACGGUCAAUCGAUACUGCAGGGCUAGAGUGCAGAAGGGGCAACUGGAAUUCUCGGUGUAGCGGUGAAAUGCGUAGAUAUCGAGAGGAACACCUGCGGCGAAGGCGGGUUGCUGGGCUGACACUGACGCUGAACUGCGAAAGCUAGGGGAGCGAACGGGAUUAGAUACCCCGGUAGUCCUAGCCUUAAACGAUGAAUGCUUGGUGUCUGGGGUUUUAUAGUCCCCGGGUGCCGUCGCUAACGCUUUAAGCAUUCCGCCUGGGGAAGUACGGUC
rnacentral:rRNA from 1 species